GCCAGCAGCCAUAUCACACCGCAGCUCAUUACUGUAAGCACAAUGAAACUAAGCAGGUGUGAGCCUGGCCAGUACCUGGAUGGGAGACCUCCUAGGAAAAACUAAGGCUGCUGCUGGAA
rnacentral:rRNA from 1 species